GUACUUCUCUUGCUUUCUCUUGAUAAUCUACUAAAAGUUCUACUUUGAACUGUAGAUCUUGACUAAGUAUUAUUUCUACUUCUGAUACUUUAUUCUGAAUAUGUUCUAGACCUAAAAAGUCUUUAUAUCUGAAUUCUCUUUCUGCUUCAUAUACUUCACAUACUAAAUCUGAAGUGAUAUGACUCAUACAUGCUCCUGUAUCUAUAAGUAUUAUACAUAACUUAUUAUUUACUAUUC
rnacentral:lncRNA from 1 species